GUGUGUCCCCCCCCACCUCCCCCAUGACAAGCUGCUGCCAUGACAACGGUCGGUCGGGUAAAGCCGUGCGGCAUGAGCCUACAUGUCGGCUGCUAAUGAAAUCAUCCCUCUUUUCUUCUCUCUGCGGAACAGGAAAAAACGGAGCGAGGCCCCCGUGUCGUGUCCCCUCCCUCCGUACCUCUUCCUCAUCAUAUUUGUUGCCAGGCUGAGCAGGCGUGUGCGUGUGUGUGUGUGUGUGUGUGUGUGGAAUAUGCAACGUGAGCGUCUGCAUAUUCCAGUCAGGUGUCUGGUGACCCUCAAUCAAUACGCAAUCAAUGCACCAGAUGUAAUUGUUCAGGCGCUGAUUGCCUCUCGGAGCUGCUUCACCUGAAAUCUGCUCUCCACCGUGCCGGUUGGCAAUUUCAAUGUGGGGGAGGGGGGGGGGUAAAGGGUUGUGGCGUUGUUGUUUUCGGUGCGUUGCUGCUCCGGGGAUCAGGCGGCGUGCGUUUUGAAUGUUGCCGUGGAUGGAUGCGCCUGCACAUGCCGACUUCCCGUCCUGAUCGUGUGAAGCACCGAGCGUGAUUGGCAUGCGGGGAGAGAAGACGAGCCCAAAGAAAACUGAAGAACAAAGUGUUUGUCAAAUUAGUCGAUCACCCCCCCCCCUCCCUCCUCAAAGACUGAACGUAUUUGAUAUGAUAAUUAUGUUUAUUUAUCUUGCAGCUACUUGCUACGCUAAUUAGACUUUAACAAGCGUAUUAGGCCGAGGUCUGUAUGGGAGGGAGGCUUCCUUGUCAUGUUGUAGAAGUUGUAUUUUUCUCGUCGAGACGCAAUCAGCGAAGAGGAAUUGUGCACAGAAACAAUCAAUCCUCUAUGUUUGAAUCAGCGGGGCCGAGGGUCCUAAAAAAAAAAGAUCACUUUUCUCGCGCGGUAAUGAGGUGCUCCCUCAUUUAAUCACCGCGUCUUUAUAAAAUAUAUAUAUAUAUAUAUAAUUUUUCCUCCUACCGUUGGAGUUCACCCUGCUCUAAAUAUCUGAUGCAGACCGGCUGAAUGAGAAGGUACAUAGCUGGCAUUUAAAAGGAGUCACCACCCCCUCAUCUGCCCGCCGCUCAUUGUCAGCAUCCUGCGUGGCCCAUAAUGAGAGCGGGCACGCCCAGGCCGUCACACAUAGCCUGUGUCCUGGUUAAAUGCACAACACCUCUCAUCGGGGCGCUAUGAUUCACUCUGAUUCAUGCCAGUGUGUCUUCUCUGUGUCCCCACUGAUCAGCCGGAUGACCGAGGGGAGGAGAUAAGGGCUGCAUGGAACACGUGUGUGUGUAUGUGUGUGUGUGUGUGUGUGUGUGGGUGUGUGUGUGGGUUUAGGGUGUUGGUUUGAUUAUAGUGUCUUUGAGCCAAGAAAUGUGUGCUCCUCUGUCUGGAACAGCCGCCCGAGCACAGCAGAUGUGUACACAAAGAUGUGUGACUUUAUAAUGAACACACACACACACACACACACAGGUAACUCAAGUCCCAUUCAAACACGUUUGUUUAGUCACGUUGAUAACAUUGAUGGUGUUAUUUAGGGACAGGCACUAACAAAAUCAGUAUAUAUAUUCAGAGGUUGGCCUUUUAUUUUAUAAAUCUCAUCACUUUAUUCUCAAUCUGGUCUUUUCACUUUAUUCUGUGAAAAAAGAAAUGUGAAGAGCCUUUGUAACUUUGUUUCCUGGUUCCAAAUUAAAUGGAAUAAAAGGGUGAAACAAAUCUGCAUCCACUAAAUGUGUGCCAUCUUCUGGUAUACAACACGCUACACAAUCACACGUACCGCAUGGUGAAGAAAGUGUUUGGGAUUGAAGCUCCAGCUCAGGAGAAAAUUGUUAAUUCUUCAAUAUUGUCAAAAAGAUUAUCUAAAUGAUUCAAGAAAAAAUACAUUAAAAAAAAAGGUCUAAACUAUAUUUACUUAUUGAGGUGUUUCUUCAUACAACCCCUUGGUUGAAGGGAAUGAUUGAGGAUUGAUUAUGUUCUAUAACGCGUCUAUAAUUAUUAGUCAGUUAUAAACAUUUCCCUCCAUGAACACGGCAUCGGGUCGAUGUAAUCAGCAGUUAAAGGAAUCCGUACGCUAAGCGCUCCGAAUGAUUUACGUCCGAUGAGAUUUCCCACAUCUGCUCAUUAAUUGUGAGAAUGAAAUUACUUUUUAACAGAACGUCUAAAUGUCUGAUUAGCAAAGGGACCGUUUUUUUAAGCAGCCAAAUGUGUGCCAGGAUGCGACGUGACGUCCCGCACGCCCGUGCUUCUUUAAACAUGCGGGCUGCACUCUUGCACGAGUCUCCCAAAUGAUUGAUGGCUUGAUUUACAUUUUACCCGAUUAAAGGUUACUUCAGCUUCAAAAACGCCGCCCGGAGGAGAGAAGAUCCGCCGCUCUUUGCAGAGAAGCAGCCCCCCCCCCCCCUUUUGAACGGAAUCGAUAGGGAUGCGUCGACCUCAUUUUAGUGAUGCGCGCGCAGCACAAAAGGCCGAACCCGAGGCGAGGACGAGUGUUUACCGCGGGAAAUGGAAUUGUUAAAACGAGAAAACGAUCCCGGCAUG
ensembl:lncRNA